rnacentral:rRNA from 1 species
AAUACAUAGCAAGUCGAACGGACGUUUCUAUGGAAGCUUGCUUCCGCUGAGAAGAGUAGUGGCGAAACGGGUGAGUAACAACGUGGGUAACCUGCCCAUAAGAGGGGGGAUAACAUCCGGAAACGGGUGCUAAUACCGCAUAGUUUUCUUGAUCGCAUGAUCGGGAAAGAAAGGACGGCCUUUGUGCUGUCGCUUAUGGAUGGACCCGCGGCGUAUUAGUUAGUUGGUGAGGUAACGGCUCACCAAGACGAUGAUACGUAGCCGACCUGAGAGGGUGAUCGGCCACAUUGGGACUGAGACACGGCCCAAACUCCUACGGGAGGCAGCAGUAGGGAAUCUUCCGCAAUGGACGAAAGUCUGACGGAGCAACGCCGCGUGAGUGAAGAAAAGGUUUUUCGGAUCGUAAAACUCUGUUGUCAGAGAAGAACAAGUUGGAGAGUAACUGCUCCAGCCUUGACGGUAUCUGACCAGAAAGCCACGGCUAACUACGUGCCAGCCGCAGC